CAGCCGCCGCGGUAAAACGUAGGUGGCAAGCGUUGUCCGGAAUUAUUGGGCGUAAAGGGCUCGCAGGCGGUUUCUUAAGUCUGAUGUGAAAGCCCCCGGCUCAACCGGGGAGGGUCAUUGGAAACUGGGAAACUUGAGUGCAGAAGAGGAGAGUGGAAUUCCACGUGUAGCGGUGAAAUGCGUAGAGAUGUGGAGGAACACCAGUGGCGAAGGCGACUCUCUGGUCUGUAACUGACGCUGAGGGGCGAAAGCGUGGGGAGCGAACAGGAUUAGAUACCCCCGUAGUCCCUGUCUCUUAUAC
rnacentral:rRNA from 1 species